rnacentral:rRNA from 1 species
AUUGAACGCUGGCGGCAGGCCUAACACAUGCAAGUCGAACGGUAACAGGAAGAAGCUUGCUUCUUUGCUGACGAGUGGCGGACGGGUGAGUAAUGUCUGGGAAACUGCCUGAUGUAGGGGGAUAACUACUGGAAACGGUAGCUAAUACCGCAUAACGUCGCAAGACCGAAGAGGGGGACCUUCGGGCCUCUUGCCAUCGGAUGUGCCCGGAUGGGAUUAGCUAGUAGGUGGGGUAACGGCUCACCUAGGCGACGAUCCCUAGCUGGUCUGAGAGGGUGACCAGCCACACUGGAACUGAGACACGGUCCAGACUCCUACGGGAGGCAGCAGUGGGGAAUAUUGCACAAUGGGCGCAAGCCUGAUGCAGCCAUGCCGCGUGUAUGAAGAAGGCCUUCGGGUUGUAAAGUACUUUCAGCGGGGAGGAAGGGAGUAAAGUUAAUACCUUUGCUCAUUGACGUUACCCGCAGAAGAAGCACCGGCUAACUCCGUG